GGCCUUGUAGCUCAGGAGGAUAGAGCGCCCUAACCUAAUGGGGUGGGUGUCGCCGGUUCGAGUCCGGUCAAGGCCA
rnacentral:tRNA from 1 species